rnacentral:snRNA from 1 species
ACAGCCAUUGUAAAUAAGUCU